GUAACAAGGUCUCCGUAGGUGAACCUGCGGAGGGAUCAUUACCGAGUGAGGGCUCGCGCCCGACCUCCCACCCUCUGUGAACCCAAUCCUGUUGCUUUGGGGGCGCCCGGCGCGCCCCCAGAGGCCCAUCAUACACUGCAUCUGUGCGUCGGAGCGUAAAUCAAUGUAAACAAAACUUUCAACAACGGAUCUCUUGGUUCUGGCAUCGAUGAAGAACGCAGCGAAAUGCGAUAAGUAAUGUGAAUUGCAGAAUUCAGUGAAUCAUCGAAUCUUUGAACGCACAUUGCGCCCUUUGGUGUUCCGAAGGGCAUGCCUGUUCGAGCGUCAUUUCAACACUCAAGCCUCGCUUGGUAUUGGGCGUCGCGAUCCCGCGCGCCUCAAAGUCCUCGGCUGAGCUGCCCGCCUCCCAGCGUUGUGGAAUCUGACGAUUCGCUCCGGAGCGCGGGGGGCCGCGGCCGUUAAAUCUUCCUUCCAGGUUGACCUCGGAUCAGGUAGGGAUACCCGCUGAACUUAAGCAUAU
rnacentral:rRNA from 1 species